rnacentral:rRNA from 1 species
AUUGAACGCUGGCGGCAUGCUUUAUACAUGCAAGUCGUGCGGCAGCGCGGGGGCAACCCAGGCGGCGAGCGGCGAACGGGUGAGUAAUACAUAGGAACGUAUCCUGAAAUGGGGGAUAGCUCGGCGAAAGCCGGAUUAAUACCGCAUACGCUCCACGGAGGAAAGCAGGGGAUCGCAAGACCUUGCGUUUCUGGAGCGGCCUAUGUCUGAUUAGCUAGUUGGCGGGGUAAUAGCCCACCAAGGCGACGAUCAGUAGCUGGUCUGAGAGGAUGAUCAGCCACACUGGGACUGAGACACGGCCCAGACUCCUACGGGAGGCAGCAGUAGGGAAUUUUGGACAAUGGGCGCAAGCCUGAUCCAGCCAUGCCGCGUGAGUGAAGAAGGCCU